AUUGAACGCUGGCGGCAGGCCUAACACAUGCAAGUCGAGCGGAUGAAGGGAGCUUGCUCCUGGAUUCAGCGGCGGACGGGUGAGUAAUGCCUAGGAAUCUGCCUGGUAGUGGGGGAUAACGUCCGGAAACGGGCGCUAAUACCGCAUACGUCCUGAGGGUGAAAGUGGGGGAUCUUCGGACCUCACGCUAUCAGAUGAGCCUAGUUCGGAUUAGCUAGUUGGUGGGGUAAAGGCCUACCAAGGCGACGAUCCGUAACUGGUCUGAGAGGAUGAUCAGUCACACUGGAACUGAGACACGGUCCAGACUCCUACGGGAGGCAGCAGUGGGGAAUAUUGGACAAUGGGCGAAAGCCUGAUCCAGCCAUGCCGCGUGUGUGAAGAAGGUCUUCGGAUUGUAAAGCACUUUAAGUUGGGAGGAGGGGCAGUAAGUUAAUACCUUGCUGUUUUGACGUUACCAACAGAAUAAGCACCGGCUAACUUCGUG
rnacentral:rRNA from 1 species